AUAUAACCUCAAACCCUUCUUUUGUUUGAAGGGUUUGGAUGUGGGGGUUUGCUGGCCUCUUGAGAGGUUCAGCUCCUCUGAAAUGCAUUAGCAGAACAACCUUGCUCAUUGGUGUGAUAACUAUCUACGCUUAUGAAUGUGAGGGGCAGUUCAGCUUUCUAACCGUCCUUUGGACAAUUCAUCAUUA
rnacentral:misc_RNA from 2 species